GUCUUUUCGGAGACAUCCGAUAAAAUUGGAACGAUACAGAGAAGAUUAGCAUGGCCCCUCCGCAAGGAUGACACGCACAAGUCGAGAAUAGAAGAAAAAUAUA
rnacentral:snRNA from 1 species